CGGCCUGUACUCCUCAGCUUGUGCUGCCCUUCUCGAAUGACUUGAGUUUCCUGCUUUCAUCACUAUACCUCUCACCAUUCUCCAUCACCUGCUCUGCUCUUAUAAGGAUCCAGUUUUCAGAGAAAUGGAAUAAUCGUAUCACUGAUCUACGUAAACAAGUUGAAGAAUUGUCUGAAAGAAAAUAUGGUGUGUCUAAACUGGAAAAGUCCUGUAAUAGUUUGUUCAUGAGCAUUUACACAAUGGAGUUGCUGUUUCAUCAUGGGGGUACUGUGGACAAGCCCAGGGCUGCUGACAUGAACUUAUGAAUUCAACACAUGAAGAUUUACAGCUUGACAAACCAGCAUCAGGAGGGAUUGUGCUGCAUUCGGACAUAGGUUCUGCCAUCAAACGCAGAAUGCUCUGAUCCUUAGAGGCAGAGGCAGCUCUUCAGCCUAUGGGCUCAAGCUCUUGGACUCACCGAGGCAGUAAAAGUACCAUGUCCUUCCUGUGUUUGAAUCAAACUCCAAUUUCCUGUAUGUAGAAGGCUUGCCAGACAGGAUUCCCUUCCGAAGCCCUACCUGGUUUGGAAUUCCAUGACUUGAAAGGAUCCUUCAUGGGAGCAAUAAAAUCAAGUUUGUUGUUAAAAAGUAAAUUCUAGGCGGGGCGUGGUGGCUCACAUCUGUAAUCCCAGCACUUUAGGAGGCUGAGGUGGGCAGAUCACCUGAGGUCAGGAGUCCGAGACCAGCCUGGCAAACAUGGCGAAACCCCAUAUCUACUAAAAAUACAAAGAACUAGCUGGGCGUGGUGGCAGGUGCCUGGAAACCCAGCUACUCGGGAGGCUGAAGCAGGAGAAUCGCUUGAACCUGGGAGGCAGAGGCUGCAGUGAGCCGAGAUUACACCACUGCACUCCAGCCUGGGUGACAGAGCGAGACUCUGCCUCAACAACAACAACAACAAUAAAAAACUUUGCAGUCCCCAAAAAGACCAUGAAGCCCUGAGAGUAAUGAAAAACUUCCUGACAUUGAGGUUACUGUGGAAGAUCAGAGGAUCAGAGAUCUCU